AGUCACCUACGGGGGGCAGCAGUGGGGAAUAUUGCACAAUGGGGGAAACCCUGAUGCAGCAACGCCGCGUGAGUGAAGAAGUAUUUCGGUAUGUAAAGCUCUAUCAGCAGGAACGAGACAAGACGGUACCUGACUAAGAAGCCCCGGCUAACUACGUGCCAGCAGCCGCGGUAAUACGUAGGGGUCAAGCGUUAUCCGGAUUUACUGGGUGUAAAGGGAGCGUAGACGGUGCGCCAAGUCUGGAGUGAAAUGCCGCAGCUUAACUGCGGAACUGCUUUGGAAACUGGCGAACUAGAGUGCGGGAG
rnacentral:rRNA from 1 species